CUUGGUCAUUUAGAGGAAGUAAAAGUCGUAACAAGGUUUCCGUAGGUGAACCUGCGGAAGGAUCAUUCAUAAUAAAGUGUUUUAUGGCACUUUUUUAAAAAAUCCAUAUCCACCUUGUGUGCAAUGUUUUUUAGAUCUAGCCAAAAUGAUAUUUUGGUUAGGUUUUAUUAUAUUACAUCAACUCUUAUUUAACUUGAUUUGUCUGAAAAAUAUUAUGAAUUUUUUAACUUAAUUCAAAAUACAACUUUCAACAACGGAUCUCUUGGCUCUCGCAUCGAUGAAGAACGCAGCGAAAUGCGAUACGUAAUGUGAAUUGCAGAAUUCAGUGAAUCAUCGAAUCUUUGAACGCAUAUUGCGCUCUCUGGUAUUCCGGAGAGCAUGCUUGUUUGAGUAUCAGUAAACACCCUCAGAGCUUUUUUUUUUCCUUGAUUUUCGAAUCUUGGGGCUCUGGAUUUGGGUGAUCCCAACGUGGUCUUUUUCGAAAGGACAUGGCGGGCCACUUGAAAUACAGGUGCAGCUGAACUUUCUUCUGAGCUAAAAGCAUAUUUAUUUAGUCCUGUCAGCACAUGUGCUGCCGGAUUAUUACUUCUGCUGCAGCUUACAUAAAGGUUGACUGUUCAAAUGCUGACUGAUACAGAAUUUUUAGCACAGAAAGCGCAAGCGGAUCUGUGCUGUUAAACUCGAUCUCAAAUCAAGUAAGACUACCCGCUGAACUUAAGCAUAUCAAUAAGCGGAGGA
rnacentral:rRNA from 1 species